AUCUUCGGCAAUGGGCGAAAGCCUGACCGAGCAACGCCGCGUGAAUGAUGAAGGCCUUCGGGUUGUAAAAUUCUGUUAUAAGGGAAGAACGACUUUAGUAGGAAAUGGCUAGAGUGUGACGGUACCUUAUGAGAAAGCCACAGCUAACUACGUGCCAGCAGCCGCGGUAAUACGUAGGUGGCGAGCGUUAUCCGGAAUUAUUGGGCGUAAAGAGCGCGCAGGUGGUUGAUUAAGUCUGAUGUGAAAGCCCACGGCUUAACCGUGGAGGGUCAUUGGAAACUGGUCAACUUGAGUGCAGAAGAGGGAAGUGGAAUUCCAUGUGUAGCGGUGAAAUGCGUAGAGAUAUGGAGGAACACCAGUGGCGAAGGCGGCUUCCUGGUCUGUAACUGACACUGAGGCGCGAAAGCGUGGGGAGCAAACAG
rnacentral:rRNA from 1 species